rnacentral:lncRNA from 1 species
AUCAAACAAACAGAAGUGCGUCUACAAUUUGAUCACAAACACCAGGAUACGUGUCAAGCUAUCAUUUUUCAAUGCAAAUGACGACCAAGUUGAUCCAACAGAUCAAAUCCACAGGAGACCAAAGCAACAACAAUAAAAGAUAGUGGUGCUCUGUCCAUCGAUCUCCUACUUUCUUGUUUCCUUAGGCAACAAGGGAAAGUGAAACUUAACUUAGCAGGCAACCAACUCUGAAUUGAACAAGUCAUAUGUUUAUUUAUUUAAGCACCUAACUGUCCCUUUCGUAAUUUGUUUGGAUUAAUUAG